rnacentral:rRNA from 1 species
GAUGGGAGCUUGCUCCCUGAUGUUAGCGGCGGACGGGUGAGUAACACGUGGGUAACCUGCCUGUAAGACUGGGAUAACUCCGGGAAACCGGGGCUAAUACCGGAUGGUUGUUUGAACCGCAUGGUUCAAACAUAAAAGGUGGCUUCGGCUACCACUUACAGAUGGACCCGCGGCGCAUUAGCUAGUUGGUGAGGUAACGGCUCACCAAGGCAACGAUGCGUAGCCGACCUGAGAGGGUGAUCGGCCACACUGGGACUGAGACACGGCCCAGACUCCUACGGGAGGCAGCAGUAGGGAAUCUUCCGCAAUGGACGAAAGUCUGACGGAGCAACGCCGCGUGAGUGAUGAAGGUUUUCGGAUCGUAAAGCUCUGUUGUUAGGGAAGAACAAGUACCGUUCGAAUAGGGCGGUACCUUGACGGUACCUAACCAGAAAGCCACGGCUAACUACGUGCCAGCAGCCGCGGUAAUACGUAGGUGGCAAGCGUUGUCCGGAAUUAUUGGGCGUAAAGGGCUCGCAGGCGGUUUCUUAAGUCUGAUGUGAAAGCCCCCGGCUCAACCGGGGAGGGUCAUUGGAAACUGGGGAACUUGAGUGCAGAAGAGGAGAGUGGAAUUCCACGUGUAGCGGUGAAAUGCGUAGAGAUGUGGAGGAACACCAGUGGCGAAGGCGACUCUCUGGUCUGUAACUGACGCUGAGGAGCGAAAGCGUGGGGAGCGAACAGGAUUAGAUACCCUGGUAGUCCACGCCGUAAACGAUGAGUGCUAAGUGUUAGGGGGUUUCCGCCCCUUAGUGCUGCAGCUA